UACGGAGGGGGCGAGCGUUGUUCGGAAUCAUUGGGCGUAAAGGGCGCGUAGGCGGCCUUGCAAGUCGGGUGUGAAAUCCCUCGGCUCAACCGAGGAACCGCACUCGAUACUGCCGGGCUAGAGUCCGGGAGGGGAUGGUGGAAUUCCCAGUGUAGCGGUGAAAUGCGUAGAUAUUGGGAAGAACACCGGUGGCGAAGGCGGCCAUCUGGACCGGUACUGACGCUGAGGCGCGAAAGCUAGGGGAGCGAAUGGG
rnacentral:rRNA from 1 species